GACAAACGCUGGCGGGGUGCGUGAGACAUGCAAGUCGAACGAGGAGCCUCCGAGCUUGCUUGGAGGUUUUCCUAGUGGCGGACGGCUGAGUAACGCGUAGGUGACCUGCCCGGAAGUGGGGAAUAACUGCCCGAAAGGGUGGCUAAUACCGCAUGUGGCCGGCGAUUCGGUUCGCCGUCUAAAGGAGCAAUUCGCUUCCGGAGGGGCCUGCGUUCGAUUAGCUAGUUGGUGAGGUAACGGCCCACCAAGGCGACGAUCGAUAGCUGGUCUGAGAGGAUGAUCAGCCAGACUGGGACUGAGACACGGCCCAGACUCCUACGGGAGGCAGCAGUCGGGAAUUUUGCCCAAUGGACGAAAGUCUGAGGCAGCAACUCCGCGUGAGGGACGAAGGCUCUCGGGUCGUAAACCUCUUUUCUCAGGGAAGAUCCAAGACGGUACCUGAGGAAUAAGCCACGGCUAACUACGUGCCAGCAGCCGCCGUAACAC
rnacentral:rRNA from 1 species